GAUGAACGCUGGCGGCGUGCCUAAUACAUGCAAGUCGAGCGAAUGGAUUGAGAGCUUGCUCUUAUGAAGUUAGCGGCGGACGGGUGAGUAACACGUGGGUAACCUGCCCAUAAGACUGGGAUAACUCCGGGAAACCGGGGCGAAUACCGGAUAACAUUUUGAACCGCAUGGUUCGAAAUUGAAAGGCGGCUUCGGCUGUCACUUAUGGAUGGACCCGCGUCGCAUUAGCUAGGUGGUGAGGUAACGGCUCACCAAGGCAACGAUGCGUAGCCGACCUGAGAGGGUGAGCGGCCACACUGGGACUGAGACACGGCCCAGACUCCUACGGGAGGCAGCAGUAGGGAAUCUUCCGCAAUGGACGAAAGUCUGACGGAGCAACGCCGCGUGAGUGAUGAAGGCUUUCGGGUCGUAAAACUCUGUUGUUAGGGAAGAACAAGUGCUAGUUGAAUAAGCUGGCACCUUGACGGUACCUAACCAGAAAGCCACGGCUAACUACGUGCCAGCCGCCGCCGUAA
rnacentral:rRNA from 1 species